rnacentral:rRNA from 1 species
GACGGAAGGUGCAAGCGUUGCUCGGAAUCACUGGGCGUAAAGGGUGCGUAGGCGGCCGCGCAAGUCUGGCGUGAAAGCCCCGGGCUCAGCCCGGGAAGUGCGCUCGAAACUGCGCGGCUCGAGUGCCGGAGGGGAGAGUGGAAUUCCUGGUGUAGCGGUGAAAUGCGCAGAUAUCAGGAGGAACACCGGUGGCGAAGGCGGUUCUCUGGGCCUGUACUGACGCUGAACGGCGAAAGCUAGGGGAGCAAACGGG